rnacentral:rRNA from 1 species
CCUAACACAUGCAAGUCGAACGGUAACAUUUCUAGCUUGCUAGAAGAUGACGAGUGGCGGACGGGUGAGUAAUGCUUGGGAACUUGCCUUUGCGAGGGGGAUAACAGUUGGAAACGACUGCUAAUACCGCAUAAUGUCUACGGACCAAACGGGGCUUCGGCUCCGGCGCAAAGAGAGGCCCAAGUGAGAUUAGCUAGUUGGUAAGGUAACGGCUUACCAAGGCGACGAUCUCUAGCUGUUCUGAGAGGAAGAUCAGCCACACUGGGACUGAGACACGGCCCAGACUCCUACGGGAGGCAGCAGUGGGGAAUAUUGCACAAUGGGGGGAACCCUGAUGCAGCCAUGCCGCGUGUGUGAAGAAGGCCUUCGGGUUGUAAAGCACUUUCAGUUGUGAGGAAAAGUUAGUAGUUAAUACCUGCUAACCGUGACGUUAACAACAGAAGAAGCACCGGCUAACUCCGUGCCAGCAGCCGCGGUAAUACGGAGGGUGCGAGCGUUAAUCGGAAUUACUGGGCGUAAAGCGCACGCAGGCGGUUUGUUAAGCUAGAUGUGAAAGCCCCGGGCUCAACCUGGGAUGGUCAUUUAGAACUGGCAGACUAGAGUCUUGGAGAGGGGAGUG